UCAAAAUUCGAAGCUAUAAAUGCCCAGACUCUCUUACAAUGUGCUUGGAGGUUGAAGGUGGGGACUGUGGGCUCACCUGUGUCUAAAGCCCAGCUGUCCCACGUCUAGAUGACCUCGAGCAAGUGACUUAAUCUGAGCCUCGGUUUCUUGUUCCUACAAAACAGAACUCACCCAUACCAUAGUGCUGUUUAAAUGAGCACGGGAUCGAGCAUGGGGUAAGUGCUCAACAAAUGCUAGCAUUACUGUUUUUAUUAUCAACCCAUCAUCAUCACUAUCACCACAACUCCGGCUCACACAGGAAGCCUGAAAACACGACAGAUACAUAUAUAUUUUCUACGUACGUUUAGUGCUUCCUUACUGUUCUACUCAAUUUAAUUCAGACUCCCACUGCCUGAGCAUCACCAGGGCUCCUUGGAAUCCCUACACAUUAUCUUAGGGCUGAGACUUCGAAAUAAGGCCCCCAAAUUUUUCACAGGAUAGAACAAAUGCUGCCCUAUCUCCUGACAAAAGCAAGAUAUCUUCUAAGUCAACAAUAGAAAAAAAAAUGUUUAGAUAGGUAUGUUCAUGUGGUUUGUUUCUAGAAGACCUGAAGAAGAAGAAAAUGUCAGCAUGUCCUUAGAGACGCCUGGCAAAUAGGGGAAGAAAAAAAAAAAACACUAGAAAAUUGAAGUCGCCUGCCAGAGGAGCUGGCACAGGGCACGACGACCAGGCCCUGCACCAAAGACUCACCAACACCCCCACAGAGUAAAGCAACAGGUUGUGGUACAGCACUGGCCGCUUCCUAGGUAAGUGGCUGAAAGCCAACCAAGUUCAAGGAAAAAAAAAAAAAAAAAAAAAAAAAAAAACCCUUUUUUUUUAAGGCUAUAUGAAAAGAGAAGAGAAACUGCAUAGGAGUAAACUCUACUUGGUAAGACAAACAUCUGGUUCUCCUUUUCCUUUCUGCCAGGCAGAGACGGUGGAACAAGACCCUGGAAAAAGAUCUGUGGUACUGGGUGGACCACACCUCAUCACCGGCAGGCAAAGCACCAUGGUGACCUUUGGCCUGCCGGGCCCUGCAGCACCACACCGCCCCCAAGGAACCCAAAUCUUGCAGUGUAUCCUUCCAGCCACACAUCUCCGAGAUCAUCUGGGAAGGGGUCCAGGCCCCUGCACUGGGGAGGGGCACAGGCACGUCAGUCUCCAGACUUGCUGGUCAGCCACAAAAGCCCCAAACUUCAAAAUAGUCAAAGGAAGUAUGUCAUGGAAUUCACCUAUCACGAGGACCUCUUUCGGCCUCCAAAACCUCAUGGCCCCUGUGGGGACUUCUCCUGGGCACUACCUACGUCCCGCUCAGGAAAAUAGGGAGAAAAACAGCUUCCUCACAGAAAUGUGGACUGGGGCCAAAUGGAGUGCCCCUGAAAUCCAAGUGGAUAAUAAUGCCCCUGUGCUGGGUCUGUCCUGAAUGCUGCCUCUGUUCUGCUUUUUUCCACAAUAAAGGCAUAGAACUGGAGAGCUGAGAAGGCCCCUGGGGGCCCAGAGAAACGAAAUAAUUUACAAAGGUCACAGGGCCUGCAAGUGGCCAAGCUAAGCCUCAAUACCCAGCUUUACCCGUAAGAACUGGAAAGUACUACCCUUCUGGAGUACAACCUACUUGCUCCAUUAAAGACUUUGCCCCUGACCUGGGAAGUAAGUGCUCCGCAGGGGAACACGGAGGGAAUUAGCAAUAUGGAUUCUGAGCCAAUAAAAAGAUUCGAACCCAGUUCUGUCCCUUACCAAAGUAUGUGACUUCAGGAAGUUCCUAAACUUCGGUUUCCUCAUUCAUCAUCACCAGCCCUGUCAGAGGAUGAAUGUAUCAAUAGAGUUUCUAAAAUAGUGUUUGAGGGGCACCUGGGGGCUCAGUGGGUUAAGCAUCUGCCUUCAGCUUGGGUCAUGAUCCCAGGGUCCUGGGAUGGAGCCCCACGUCGGGCUCCCUGGUCAGCGGGGAGUCUGCUUCUCCCUCUCCCUCUGCUCCUUCCCACCCACUCCCCCUACUCAUCUUCUCUCUCUCUCUAAUAAGUGAAUAAAAUCUUCUUUAAAUUUUUAGAAAAUAAAAUAGUGUCUGAAGGGGCGCCUGGGAGGUGCAGUUGGUUAAGCAUGUGACUCAAUUUCGGCUCAGGUCAUGACCUCAGGGUCGGGAGAUCAAGUCCCACCUGAGGCUCCACACUCAGUGUGGAGUUUGCUUGAGAUUCUCUUGCUCCCUGUCCUUCUCCCCCUGCUCCUUUUCUCUCUCUCUCUUUCAAAUAAAUAAAUAAAACUUUAAAAAACAACACUGUCUGAUGUAAAUAAUUUAUAAUACAUCAUCAUCAUCCUAGAACAGAGGGGAAAUGAGAGUGAAAACGUUGGGGGUUACAUGAAAAAAGAAAGCGGGUGUGUGGUCAUUAAAUAAAUAGAACAUCGUUUAACUUAAAAAACCGUACAGAUACACCAAGAGUCAUGCUGACAGUGGCUAGUGGGAAAAUGAAAGCAAAACAAGAACAUGCAAUGAAAUGUUAGGAUAACACAACUCCAGUGAUGUUAAAGGAUCAUCCCUGCAUAUACACAUAUACUCCAAAAAGAGAGCAAAAGAAAAUAAAUGAAACACUAACAGCCCAGUCUCUGGGCAGUGGGAUUACCACUGACUUUUACUGUCUUCUCUACCUCCCAAGUCUCACGUAGCAGACAUGUAUUAUUACUUCGGAAAUCAAAAUAACUGUAGGUUUUAAAGAUUAUUUUUGUUUAAUUUUUUUUAAAGUUUAUUUUUUUAGUAAUCCCUACAGCCCACAUAGGGCUCAAACUCAAGAUCAAGAGUCACAUGCUCUUCCGACUGAGCCAGCCAGGUGUCCUGAAACAUCAUUUUUAAAGAAGAAACCUGACACCAGGCGGGGUCUGGGUCUCGGUGGCCAAAGGGCUAUUCCAAGCAGCUACAACGGGGUAGGUGGAACCCUUGGCGGCGGUGUUGGGGAGGGGAGACCCACAGAGGGAGAGCAGGGGUCCCAGCGAGGACCAAGAAUUUCCUUCUUUUCAGCAUCCGGACGGAAGAAAGGGACCUGCUGGCCCGGGGCCGCUGACGGAGCUAGGCCAGGGCCCAGAGGGAACUUGCGGGGGGUCGAACAGGCCGCGUUGAGUGUGGCAGCUUUCUCCGGAAAGCUUCCUGGCUGGUCCUCAGCGCCACGUCUAGCUUGCGUUCUCAGCUCACCCCUUCUGCAGGACUCGUUGUGAGGGGCGGACAGACGGCAGACAGAAGAGCAGGACACACAGGAGGGAUGGUGAGGGCAGUACCGGGCCCCUCCCAGCUCCGGCUCAAGGUCCGUCUGUAUCUGAGCAGCCUCCUACCCUGCGGUGGCGGCACGAGCGCCCUGCCCCGGCGCCUCUGCUGCUUUCCCACCAGCUGCCUCUUCUGAGCAGCACCCUAGGAUCAUGGCAUGUUAAGGUUCAUCCAGAACACCCACCCAGUUUCCCUAUUUACAGAUGAAGAAAACGAGGAGGAAAAGAGAGGAUGGGGUGUCUGAACCUACACACUCAGAUGAGAACACACACUGGCCCAAUACUGUCUGCUUCGGGGCCUUGCCUGAGGUCACCGGACAACUGUCCCUUCUGGCACUCACCGCUGCCUACAAACUGGACUGCAUGCCCCACUGCUGUGAAAGCCCCAGUCCAAUCCCUAGGCUCCUCCUGGACAGAUGUCAACAUAUAAAGUAAUCCAGAAACCUCAGUGAAAUUCAACAGGGGGGACUCUUCCCUUCUCGUAAGGGCUAAUUAUAACAGGAAACAUUUCAAUCCAAAAAGUGACCCCGCAACAGUGGACUGUUGGGACCAAUGAUGACCCAUGGGGAACACUUCAUGGAUAUUUGCACAGUCUUAAAGUAUCUUCCCCAAAAUGUUAAUGUGAAUAAAAAUAUUAUGAAUUACUGCGGUGGUUUUAAAAUAUGAUUACAGGGAUCCCUGGGUGGCGCAGCGGUUUGGCGCCUGCCUUUGGCCCAGGGCGCGAUCCUGGAGACCCGGGAUCGAAUCCCACGUCGGGCUCCCGGUGCAUGGAGCCUGCUUCUCCCUCUGCCUGUGUCUCUGCCUCUCUCUCUCUCUGUGUGUGACUAUCAUAAAUAAAUGAAAAUUAAAAAAAAAUAAAAUAAAAUAAAAUA
rnacentral:lncRNA from 1 species